rnacentral:rRNA from 1 species
CCUACGGGAGGCAGCAGUAAGGAAUAUUGGUCAAUGGACGAAAGUCUGAACCAGCCAUGCCGCGUGAAGGAUGAAGGCCCUCUGGGUUGUAAACUUCUUUUAUAGGGGACGAAAAAAGGGCAUUCUUGCUCACUUGACGGUACCCUAGGAAUAAGCACCGGCUAACUCCGUGCCAGCAGCCGCGGUAAUACGGAGGGUGCAAGCGUUAUCCGGAUUUACUGGGUUUAAAGGGUGCGUAGGUGGGUUGGUAAGUCAGCGGUGAAAUCUUCGAGCUUAACUCGGAAACUGCCAUUGAUACUAUCAAUCUUGAAUCAUCUAGAGGUAAGCGGAAUAUGUCAUGUAGCGGUGAAAUGCUUAGAUAUGACAUAGAACACCAAUUGCGAAGGCAGCUUACUAUGGAUGUAUUGACACUGAGGCACGAAAGCGUGGGGAUCAAACAGGAUUAGAUACCCUGGUAGUCCGCGCCCUAAACUAUGGAUACUCGACAUUUGCGAUAUACUGUAAGUGUUNUGNGNGAAGANAUAAGUAUCCACCGNGGAGUAAGUAGUGNAGAGUUAGUUAAUUAAAUUAGAGUUAGAGNGNGAGAGNGCGAGACGACGACGAGGAGGAGG